rnacentral:rRNA from 1 species
AACGAACGCUGGCGGCAGGCUUAACACAUGCAAGUCGAACGCAUCGCAAGAUGAGUGGCAGACGGGUGAGUAACGCGUGGGAAUCUACCUAGUUCUACGGAACAACAGUUGGAAACGACUGCUAAUACCGUAUACGCCCUAUGGGGGAAAGAUUUAUCGGAAUUAGAUGAGCCCGCGUAAGAUUAGCUAGUUGGUGGGGUAAUGGCCUACCAAGGCGACGAUCUUUAGCUGGUCUGAGAGGAUGAUCAGCCACACUGGGACUGAGACACGGCCCAGACUCCUACGGGAGGCAGCAGUGGGGAAUAUUGGACAAUGGGCGCAAGCCUGAUCCAGCCAUGCCGCGUGAGUGAUGAAGGCCUUAGGGUUGUAAAGCUCUUUCAGUGGGGAAGAUAAUGACGGUACCCACAGAAGAAGCCCCGGCUAACUUCGUGCCAGCCGCCGCUGUAACAC